AUUGAACGCUGGCGGCAGGCCUAACACAUGCAAGUCGAACGAGUGGCGGACGGGUGAGUAAUGUCUGGGAAACUGCCUGAUGGAGGGGGAUAACUACUGGAAACGGUAGCUAAUACCGCAUACCAUCGGAUGUGCCCAGAUGGGAUUAGCUAGUUGGUGGGGUAACGGCUCACCAAGGCGACGAUCCCUAGCUGGUCUGAGAGGAUGACCAGCCACCAUGGAACUGAGACACGGUCCAGACUCCUACGGGAGGCAGCAGUGGGGAAUAUUGCACAAUGGGCGCAAGCCUGAUGCAGCAAUGCCGCGUGUAUGAAGAAGGCCUUCGGGUUGUAAAGUACUUUCAGCGAGGAAGCGUUACUCGCAGAGGAAGCACCGGCUAACUCCGUGCCAGCAGCCGCGGUAAUAC
rnacentral:rRNA from 1 species